rnacentral:rRNA from 1 species
GACGGAGGAUGCAAGUGUUAUCCGGAAUCACUGGGCGUAAAGCGUCUGUAGGUGGUUUAAAAAGUCUACUGUUAAAAAUUGAAGCUUAACUUCAAAGAUGCCGUAGAAACUUUUAAACUUGAGGAUGGUAGGGGUAGAGGGAAUUUCCAGUGGAGCGGUGAGAUGCGUAGAUCUUGGAAAGACCACCAAUGGCGAAGGCACUCUACUGGGCCAUGACUGACACUAAGAGACGAAAGCUAGGGGAGCAAAUGGG